rnacentral:rRNA from 1 species
AUAAUGGGUCAGCGACUUAUAUUCUGUAGCAAGGUUAACCGAAUAGGGGAGCCGAAGGGAAACCGAGUCUUAACUGGGCGUUAAGUUGCAGGGUAUAGACCCGAAACCCGGUGAUCUAGCCAUGGGCAGGUUGAAGGUUGGGUAACACUAACUGGAGGACCGAACCGACUAAUGUUGAAAAAUUAGCGGAUGACUUGUGGCUGGGGGUGAAAGGCCAAUCAAACCGGGAGAUAGCUGGUUCUCCCCGAAAGCUAUUUAGGUAGCGCCUCGUGAAUUCAUCUCCGGGGGUAGAGCACUGUUUCGGCAAGGGGGUCAUCCCGACUUACCAACCCGAUGCAAACUGCGAAUACCGGAGAAUGUUAUCACGGGAGACACACGGCGGGUGCUAACGUCCGUCGUGAAGAGGGAAACAACCCAGACCGCCAGCUAAGGUCCCAAAGUCAUGGUUAAGUGGGAAACGAUGUGGGAAGGCCCAGACAGCCAGGAUGUUGGCUUAGAAGCAGCCAUCAUUUAAAGAAAGCGUAAUAGCUCACUGGUCGAGUCGGCCUGCGCGGAAGAUGUAACGGGGCUAAACCAUGCACCGAAGCUGCGGCAGCGACGCUUAUGCGUUGUUGGGUAGGGGAGCGUUCUGUAAGCCUUUGAAGGUGUACUGUGAGG